rnacentral:rRNA from 1 species
CCUACGGGCGGCAGCAGUGGGGAAUAUUGCACAAUGGGCACAAGCCUGAUGCAGCCAUGCCGCGUGUGUGAAGAAGGCCUUCGGGUUGUAAAGCACUUUCAGCGGGGAGGAAGGCGUUAAGGUUAAUAACCUUGUCGAUUGACGUUACCCGCAGAAGAAGCACCGGCUAACUCCGUGCCAGCAGCCGCGGUAAUACGGAGGGUGCAAGCGUUAAUCGGAAUUACUGGGCGUAAAGCGCACGCAGGCGGUCUGUCAAGUCGGAUGUGAAAUCCCCGGGCUCAACCUGGGAACUGCAUUCGAAACUGGCAGGCUAGAGUCUUGUAGAGGGGGGUAGAAUUCCAGGUGUAGCGGUGAAAUGCGUAGAGAUCUGGAGGAAUACCGGUGGCGAAGGCGGCCCCCUGGACAAAGACUGACGCUCAGGUGCGAAAGCGUGGGGAGCAAACAGGAUUAGAUACCCCAGUAGUC